CCCACCCCCUCCCCCCGGGAGCCAGGCGAGCCGUCAGGCGGAUCCGCAGCGCCUCGGAGCCACCUCGGGGGAGAACCAAGGCCCUCACAGACGGGGGGGGGACGAAACAAAAAAAGAAAAGGACCGAAGCCUUUAGCGGCGCGUCCAGCGGCGCUACGGGCUUUGCGUGGGUUAGCUCCCAAGUCUGAAGGGAGGGGAUCUCUCCAGGGGCCCCCGCUACCCCUACCCCUCCUGCGGCCGCGAUGUCCGCCGCGGCCCCCAAGAAGCAGGUCCGCUUCGCCAGGACGGAGCAGAGCGACGGCGACGGCGACGACGACAACAACGACGAUCAGGAGGAGGACACGCUGUUCGACAAGCGGCAGGACGCGCAGCGGGGCUCCCCGGGCCUCCGGACGGGGGCCAGGAGGCGAGACGAGCUGGGCUCCGAGGAGGUGGCGGUGCGGGGCAGCAGGACGGGCGGCCAGGCGGAUGUCAGCCGGUGGCCCGUCACCGCCGUCCUCUGUGCCUCCUUCCUCGGCCUGGUGGAAUGAAGUGCUUUUGACCGCUUCUAAGGGUCAGGGGUCACAGGUGAGGUCACGGUGCAGUGUCCCUGUCUGCACUCUCUAAGCAGCUGGAAGCUAGAAUGGGGUUUGCCCUGAAGGUCAUGGUCCAGAGCAGAGCUGUAGACAUGACCUCUGACAGGCCUUCCCUGCCCGAGGAAGAGGUCGGAGUGUACGUUCGUCUACCACAGCGGAACCGUGCAGCAUAUGGAAAUCCAGAGCUGCUGCGUAUGGAAAUAUAUACAAAUUGAUCACAACUGAAAUUGUAGCAAAGCCUGGCUUUGUUCCACCUGACAGUUUCAGUGCAGGUGUUUGAGUACUGUUGACAAAUCCGAUAAGGCCUUGUGACCAAUUCAGUUUUCUCGAGUGGCACAUUGGGGCCCUGGGUUCAGUUCCUGGGGUGCUGUCUGUGUGGAGUUUGCAUGUUUUGCCUGGGUUCAUGUGGGUUUCCUCUGUGUGCUCUGGUUUUCUCCCACAGCCCAGAGCUCUAUAGUCAGGAAAACUGGCCCUGGUGUGAGUGUGUCUGUGUGUGUGCCCUGCAGCGGACUGGUGUCCCAUCCAGGGUGUACCCUGCCUUGCUCUCGUUGCUUGCUGGGAUAGGCUGUAGCUCCUCUGCGGCCCUGUAUUGGGUAGGGGUUAGGAAACAGAUGGGGAUAUCAAUCCUGGGGGAAAGAUUAGGCCGGGGUUCCAUAUCUCUGUUGUGAGUGAUUUCAGAUAAAGAGGUCUGUAACAGAUGUCUAAAACCCUUGUAAAAGACAACUUUGCCGCCAAGUCAUGUGACCUCAGUCUCAUUUUCACUUGGCCGCAGUUUCCCAGGAGCGUCUCAACACACUGUGGAAUUUCAGACGCGUCCGCGGAACGCGAUGGGUUUUACCACCAAGAAUGGCAUUAAAGAUAGUGAUCUGGACAUAAAUAAUACUAACAAUAGUGUCCCGCUACAUCUUUCUUGCUUGGCCUCCUAAUUACAUGGAAUAUGGAUAGUUAGUAAAAUUGCUUGGUGUUCAUGUAAAUCACCUAAAGGGGAAUAUUUCCUUUUAAACGAAAAGAUUCUCAGAUAUUUCAUUGACUAAACAGUAGGCUAUUGCCAAAAAAUAAAUACGCUGUGGAGAGUGUGCUUUAGGUGGUACUGGAGAGGAUUGUGUACACCUGCCGUUGCAAAACCCCAAGUUAACAGCAUAUUAAAGUCAAGAGGAAGGUGAAACUGCAGCCUUGUGAUUCCUUCACACAAGAUGAAGGAGAAGCUGUAGGAUCUGUCAAGGGGAGAAAGUGACUUUGCAAUUAUGUUAAACUAAAGUUCUUAAGUUCUUACAAUGAACAAAGCUCUUAAAACGAUACCGUGAAGCAGAAAGUUUUCAGUUCACACAGUCUGUAGGUGGUCCGGGUCCUCCGGUCUGGUCUGUUGCUCUGUAUCUGAUCACACUAUUUUGGCAACUUCCUCUGCUGAAAUGGUUGAUGAAAAGGCUGAUAAUGUGCAGUGAACAGAAGAAUGGAGGCAAAAUAGGAACUGUAACAAUCCUGUGUCCGUACUGCGCAGUUUCACUGUAGCAACAAAUAACAGCACUGUCUUGAGCUUCCACGUUUGAUAAGAAAGUGCAGCAUUGUGUCGUGAUGAUUUGGCUGCCAGUGUUAUACAGGAAAUAAGAACGAAAGGCAAACAGUAAGAGUGUUAGGAUCUGCAGUGAAAUGACAGAUCCUGGGAUUUGGAAGAGCUGUUCAAUUAAAAAAAAAAACAGUUCAGUUUUUGGACGGCAGAAGCCAGUAGUGGAUAAAACCAAGCUCUUUCCCUAAUCACGAUUUGAACAGAUGUGAAACACUGGGCGAAAACCCUUCAGAAUGAGAAUGCCUCUUGUACAGAGUGGGAUGAUCUCAGAUACGUUGUGGUUUUGAAUUUUUGGUCACACACACACAGCUUUUCAGUAAUUGCCGAUCGUGUGACCGGUGCACAGCUGAGUUCACUGUGACCACAGUGUCCUAACUCACUCACUGCUGAAGAGAACACUUUAUAUGGUAACUGAGCAGAGCUAGUGA
ensembl:lincRNA